GGGUUGUGAGGUUAAGCGACCAAGCGUACACGGUGGAUGCCCUGGCAGUCAGAGGCGAUGAAGGGCGUGCUAAUCUGCGAUAAGCGCCGGUAAGGUGAUAUGAACCGUUAUAACCGGCGAUACCCGAAUGGGGAAACCCAGUGUGAUUCGUCACACUAUCAUUAACUGAAUCCAUAGGUUAAUGAGGCGAACCGGGGGAACUGAAACAUCUAAGUACCCCGAGGAAAAGAAAUCAACCGAGAUUCCCCCAGUAGCGGCGAGCGAACGGGGAGGAGCCCAGAGCCUGAAUCAGCAUGUGUGUUAGUGGAAGCGUCUGGAAAGGCGCGCGAUACAGGGUGACAGCCCCGUACACAAAAGCGCAUGUGCUGUGAGCUCGAUGAGUAGGGCGGGACACGUGGUAUCCUGUCUGAAUAUGGGGGACCAUCCUCCAAGGCUAAAUACUCCUGACUGACCGAUAGUGAACCAGUACCGUGAGGGAAAGGCGAAAAGAACCCCGGCGAGGGGAGUGAAAAAGAACCUGAAACCGUGUACGUACAAGCAGUGGGAGCACAGGUUUACCUGUGUGACUGCGUACCUUUUGUAUAAUGGGUCAGCGACUUAUAUUCUGUAGCAAGGUUAACCGAAUAGGGGAGCCGGAGGGAAACCGAGUCUUAAUUGGGCGUUAAGUUGCAGGGUAUAGACCCGAAACCCGGUGAUCUAGCCAUGGGCAGGUUGAAGGUUGGGUAACACUAACUGGAGGACCGAACCGACUAAUGUUGAAAAAUUAGCGGAUGACCUGUGGCUGGGGGUGAAAGGCCAAUCAAACCGGGAGAUAGCUGGUUCUCCCCGAAAGCUAUUUAGGUAGCGCCUCGUGAAUUCAUCUCCGGGGUAGAGCACUGUUUCGGCCAGGGGGCCAUCCCGGCUUACCAACCCGAUGCAAACUGCGAAUACCGGAGAAUGUUAUCACGGGAGACACACGGCGGGUGCUAACGUCCGUCGUGAAGAGGGAAACAACCCAGACCGCCAGCUAAGGUCCCAAAGUCAUGGUUAAGUGGGAAACGAUGUGGGAAGGCCAGACAGCCAGGAUGUUGGCUUAGAAGCAGCCAUCAUUUAAAGAAAGCGUAAUAGCUCACUGGUCGAGUCGGCCUGCGCGGAAGAUGUAACGGGGCUAAACCAUGCACCGAAGCUGCGGCAGCGAACGUAUCACCCAAGACAACUUUGCACAGUUGACGAUUGACGGAGCGAAGCGACGUCAAAGCGUUUUACAACGUCGAGUUGGCUUAGGGAUACGUUCGUUGGGUAGGGGAGCGUUCUGUAAGCCUGUGAAGGUGGCCUGUGAGGGUUGCUGGAGGUAUCAGAAGUGCGAAUGCUGACAUAAGUAACGAUAAAGCGGGUGAAAAGCCCGCUCGCCGGAAGACCAAGGGUUCCUGUCCAACGUUAAUCGGGGCAGGGUGAGUCGACCCCUAAGGCGAGGCCGAAAGGCGUAGUCGAUGGGAAACGGGUUAAUAUUCCCGUACUUGGUGUUACUGCGAAGGGGGGACGGAGAAGGCUAUGUUGGCCGGGCGACGGUUGUCCCGGUUUAAGCGUGUAGGCUGGUUUUCCAGGCAAAUCCGGAAAAUCAAGGCUGAGGCGUGACGACGAGGCACUACGGUGCUGAAGCAACAAAUGCCCUGCUUCCAGGAAAAGCCUCUAAGCAUCAGGUAACAUCAAAUCGUACCCCAAACCGACACAGGUGGUCAGGUAGAGAAUACCAAGGCGCUUGAGAGAACUCGGGUGAAGGAACUAGGCAAAAUGGUGCCGUAACUUCGGGAGAAGGCACGCUGACACGUAGGUGAAGUGAUUUACUCAUGGAGCUGAAGUCAGUCGAAGAUACCAGCUGGCUGCAACUGUUUAUUAAAAACACAGCACUGUGCAAACACGAAAGUGGACGUAUACGGUGUGACGCCUGCCCGGUGCCGGAAGGUUAAUUGAUGGGGUCAGCGCAAGCGAAGCUCCUGAUCGAAGCCCCGGUAAACGGCGGCCGUAACUAUAACGGUCCUAAGGUAGCGAAAUUCCUUGUCGGGUAAGUUCCGACCUGCACGAAUGGCGUAAUGAUGGCCAGGCUGUCUCCACCCGAGACUCAGUGAAAUUGAACUCGCUGUGAAGAUGCAGUGUACCCGCGGCAAGACGGAAAGACCCCGUGAACCUUUACUAUAGCUUGACACUGAACAUUGAGCCUUGAUGUGUAGGAUAGGUGGGAGGCUUUGAAGCGUGGACGCCAGUCUGCGUGGAGCCGGCCUUGAAAUACCACCCUUUAAUGUUUGAUGUUCUAACGUGGACCCGUAAUCCGGGUUGCGGACAGUGUCUGGUGGGUAGUUUGACUGGGGCGGUCUCCUCCUAAAGAGUAACGGAGGAGCACGAAGGUUGGCUAAUCCUGGUCGGACAUCAGGAGGUUAGUGCAAUGGCAUAAGCCAGCUUGACUGCGAGCGUGACGGCGCGAGCAGGUGCGAAAGCAGGUCAUAGUGAUCCGGUGGUUCUGAAUGGAAGGGCCAUCGCUCAACGGAUAAAAGGUACUCCGGGGAUAACAGGCUGAUACCGCCCAAGAGUUCAUAUCGACGGCGGUGUUUGGCACCUCGAUGUCGGCUCAUCACAUCCUGGGGCUGAAGUAGGUCCCAAGGGUAUGGCUGUUCGCCAUUUAAAGUGGUACGCGAGCUGGGUUUAGAACGUCGUGAGACAGUUCGGUCCCUAUCUGCCGUGGGCGCUGGAGAACUGAGGGGGCUGCUCCUAGUACGAGAGGACCGGAGUGGACGCAUCACUGGUGUUCGGGUUGUCAUGCCAAUGGCACUGCCCGGUAGCUAAAUGCGGAAGAGAUAAGUGCUGAAAGCAUCUAAGCACGAAACUUGCCCCGAGAUGAGUUCUCCCUGAGACUUAAAGUCUCCUGAAGGAACGUUGAAGACGACGACGUUGAUAGGCCGGGUGUGUAAGCGCAGCGAUGCGUUGAGCUAACCGGUACUAAUGAACCGUGAGGCUUAACCUUACAACGCCGAAG
rnacentral:rRNA from 1 species